GAGAGGAGAAAGCGAGGCCCGGGGACGGGACUGAGAGCUCUGAAAGGAGGGAGGCGGCUCCCGAGUACUCCGCGCGGGGCAGGCCCCGGCCUCGCCUCUUCGCCCAUUUUUAAGGCUCGAGUUAGAGGCCACCUCCUCCGAGAAGCCUUCGGUGACACCACCUCUCCCAGACGGUUCCCCUUUCUGAUUCCCACAGCAUUUUCCAACCAUUCACGCCGUCUUCCUUCCUCAUUGUGGUUUGGACCUUCUCGAGAAAGAAUCUGGCCUCAGUCUCCCUCUUCCACACUCAGGGACCGCCACCAUCACAGGCACUCGGUAGAUGUCUGCUGAAUGAGGAUAACUUCUACCCAACACCGUGAAGCCUGGCCCAGGGUCUGGCAUACAGAUGCCGUGUUUGUAAGUCCUGGUUGCUCAUCUCGCCCACUUGCACAGCCCACCUGUGUGGCCGACUCAGGAUUGACCCACCUGCUCUCUUCAGGCCAUAUUCCCACGCAGAAGUGGGUCCCACUCCUCAGGCCUCUGUGCUGGCCCCGUCUGUGGGGUUAGCAAGCAGCCCUGCUCUCCAUUUCCAGCUCAGAAGCAACUGGAUCGUUACCUCAUUGGUGACAACUUGACUGUGCUGCCCAGAGCUGAUAAGAAACAUCACCCGGGGAAGACCAGCUGCCUCUUCCUUGCUUCCUAAUCAGGGUGGAAAUACUGCUAAAUAUAUCACAACUCUUUGCAAGCAU
rnacentral:lncRNA from 10 species